UACGAACCGUCCGAACGUUAUUCGGAAUCACUGGGCUUAAAGGGUGCGUAGGCGGCGCGGAAAGUUGGGUGUGAAAUCCCUCGGCUCAACCGAGGAACUGCGCCCAAAACUACCGUGCUCGAGGGAGAUAGAGGUGAGCGGAACUUAGGGUGGAGCGGUGAAAUGCGUUGAUAUCCUAAGGAACACCGGUGGCGAAAGCGGCUCACUGGAUCUCUUCUGACGCUGAGGCACGAAAGCUAGGGUAGCGAACGGG
rnacentral:rRNA from 1 species